AGUGAACGCUGGCGGUAGGCCUAACACAUGCAAGUCGAACGGCAGCACAGUAAGAGCUUGCUCUUACGGGUGGCGAGUGGCGGACGGGUGAGGAAUACAUCGGAAUCUACUUUUUCGUGGGGGAUAACGUAGGGAAACUUACGCUAAUACCGCAUACGACCUACGGGUGAAAGCAGGGGAUCUUCGGACCUUGCGCGAUUGAAUGAGCCGAUGUCGGAUUAGCUAGUUGGCGGGGUAAAGGCCCACCAAGGCGACGAUCCGUAGCUGGUCUGAGAGGAUGAUCCGCCAAACCUGAACCGAGGCACCGUCCAGACUCCUACGGGAGGCAGCAGGUGGGAAUAUUGGACAAUGGGGGCAAGCCUGAUCCAGCCAUACCGGGGGGGUUAAGAAGGGCCUCGGGUUGUAAAGCCCUUUUGUUGGGAAAGAAAAGCAGCAGGUUAAUACCCCGCUGUUCUGACGGUACCCAAAGAAUAAGCACCGGCUAACUUCGUG
rnacentral:rRNA from 1 species